rnacentral:rRNA from 1 species
CAGUCGCCGCGGGAAUACGAAGGGGGCUAGCGUUGCUCGGAAUUACUGGGCGUAAAGGGAGCGUAGGCGGACACUUAAGUCAGGGGUGAAAUCCCGGGGCUCAACCUCGGAAUUGCCUUUGAUACUGGGUGUCUUGAGCAUGAGAGAGGUAUGUGGAACUCCGAGUGUAGAGGUGAAAUUCGUAGAUAUUCGGAAGAACACCAGUGGCGAAGGCGACAUACUGGCUCAUUACUGACGCUGAGGCUCGAAAGCGUGGGGAGCAAACAGGAUUAGAUACCCCGGUAGUCCCUGUCUCUUAUUA